UGUUAUUGUUACCAAUGUUGUGCCGAGAAACGCAUGCCCGUCGAGGAUUGCAUGCAACUCAUGGAAAUGCGCACCAGUUAUAGUAGAGUGGUCCAUGUUAAUGUACAAUUUAAAACCCAUUUAAUUUUUAUUUGUGGGGCUAAUGAGUGAUGAGUAAUGUUCUGAAUGUAAUUCUCGGGGGUAUGCGUUUCUCGGCACAACACGGGUAGCCCAGUGACU